rnacentral:lncRNA from 1 species
CCAUUGGCUGCAAUAAGUUCUUCUCCAAAUAAUUUAUUUGCCCUGAAACCAGCUUUUAGGUAGCAAAUUAUUUGCCCAUCACUUAGAGGUCUACAUCUUAGGAUGAUUACUUACACAUGUUCUCCCAAGUAAAUGUUUAGGAGAUAUGAGUUUGGUCCACACCUCUAUGGUGAUUACCAUUUUAUUUUUGAAAUUUGGU